GAUCAAUUUAAUUUCUGAUAUCAAAUGCAAUGAGACUCCUCACUAGAUGAAGCAUAUGAAAAAAAUGCGAUAUUUUUAUGUCAUAAAAAAUCCAGUUUCCUUCUGAUGUCAUAUACAUUGAGACUCCACACAAUAUUAUUCAUAUGAAAAUGUUGCGAUAUUUCUACAUCAUAAAAGAUCCAGUUCUCUUCUGAUGUCACAUACAUUAAGACUCCACACAAUAUUAUUUAUAUGAAAAUGUUGCGAUAUUUCUACAUCAUAAAAACGAACUCUUCAUUCCACUGAGAACCAGAAUCUGAUUUUGAAGUAUUACAG